rnacentral:rRNA from 1 species
GAUGAACGCUGGCGGCGUGCCUAAUACAUGCAAGUCGAGCGAACGGACGAGAAGUUUGUUUCUUUGAUGUUAGCGGCGGACGGGUGAGUAACACGUGGAUAACCUACCUAUAAGACUGGGAUAACUUCGGGAAACCGGAGCUAAUACCGGAUAAUAUUUUGAACCGCAUGGUUCAAAUGUGAAAGACGGUCUUGCUGUCACUUAUAGAUGGAUCCGCGCUGCAUUAGCUAGUUGGUAAGGUAACGGCUUACCAAGGCAACGAUGCAUAGCCGACCUGAGAGGGUGAUCGGCCACACUGGAACUGAGACACGGUCCAGACUCCUACGGGAGGCAGCAGUAGGGAAUCUUCCGCAAUGGGCGAAAGCCUGACGGAGCAACGCCGCGUGAGUGAUGAAGGUCUUCGGAUCGUAAAACUCUGUUAUUAGGGAAGAACAUAUGUGUAAGUAACUGUGCACAUCUUGACGGUACCUAAUCAGAAAGCCACGGCUAACUACGUG